UUUCCGUAGGUGAACCUGCGGAAGGAUCAUUACUGAAGAAACAAGGGUUUUGAGACUGCGUCCUUCAAUUGGGCGUGUGCUCGACUCUUACUCUUUCAUAUCCCAUACACACCUUUGUGCACCAAGGGGACCCUUGUGUCCCCCUUUUUUUCAUAAAUACCGAGUUAUAUGCAUGUAUAGUUUGUAUACUCUACGGAGUUAUUAUAAAUACAACUUUCAACAACGGAUCUCUUGGCUUUCGCAUCGAUGAAGAACGCAGCGAACGUGCGAAACGUAAUGUGAAUUGCAGAAUUCAGUGAAUCAUCGAAUCUUUGAACGCAUCUUGCGCUCCUUGGUAUUCCGAGGAGCAUGCCUGUUUGAGUGUCGUGAAUAACUCUCAAUUUCAAAUAUUUUAGAAUAUCUGACAUUGGACUUGGGCGUUGUCGUGUUUCUACGACUCGUCCUAAAUGCAUUAGCGAUCUGCCCUGAUCACACACAAUGUGAUAAGUAAAAAAUAAAGCAUUGUUAUGGUUGGGUUUGAAAGAUGGCUUCUAAUCGUCGUAAUGACAAAUAAAAGACCAUGUCGUUUGACCUCAAAUCAGGCAGGACUACCCGCUGAACUUAAGCA
rnacentral:rRNA from 1 species